GGGCAAAUGGCACAGUUGGUAGCGCGCACGCUUCGCACACAGAAUCUGCGUGAGGUCCUGGGUUCAAAUCCCAGUUUGUCCA